AUGUACUCGGCCCACAGGCCCCUGAUGCUUGCAUUCAGCAAGGCCUCCCGUGGCCUCGGCAUGUUCAGGUAGAGGAACGUGGAACCUCGCUCUUUGGCUGUGUUCCCCUGGUACUCCAUCUCCUUCCUGACCCCUCCCUGCAGCCACGCAAAGCCCAGCAACCUGCCAGACACUCAGUGGCCUCCAACUAGACAAAAGAACCUGCUGAGUUGGCAGCUGUUGCUCAUGAGCGUCCACCAGGUGGGACAGGGAGUGCUGACCCUGGGCGGCCCCCUGAAGCCACCUGCCCUGAAAGCCCAGGGCCCAGAACCCCACACACUUUGGGGGUGGUGGAACCUGGUAAGGGCCCACCUUCCACCAUGGAGGAGGAGCCCUGGGCCCCUCAGGGGAGCCCCUGCUGGACAGUGAGACAGAGAAUGACCACAAUGAUGCUUUCCUCUCCGUCAUGUCUCCUGACACCCAGUUGCCUCUACCACCCAAAUGAUGUCAGGCCCAGUCUCUCAGUGCCCUGCCCAAGGAACAGAACUCAUCUUCUGAGAAGGAUGGACGCAGCCCCAACAAAUGGGACAAGGACCACAUCCGGCAGCCCGUGAGUGGCACUCAUGAUCUUCAGCAAGCGGCACCAGGCUCUGGCAGGGCCCACCAGUGUCACCCCAACCAGGACAACUGGACCGUCAGCCAGAUCCUGGGCGAGUGGUGGUACACUCUGGGGCCCAAUGAGAGGCAGAAGUACCAUGACCUGACCUCCCAGGUGAAGGUGGCCCACUUGCAACAAGGACCGAAAGAAGUCCAGGCCCGGAGACUCACACCUGUAAUCCCAGCACUUUGGGAGGCUGGGGCGGG
rnacentral:lncRNA from 1 species